UCACGGCGGGCAGCUUUGAAAGGAAAAGGGGAAUGAUUUUGCUCUCCAUCGUCACUCCUUCUCAGACCAGAGAAUUGGAGCAGUAGCCCUCCUUUCACUAGUAGUCGGACUCAUCCCUCUUUCUCCUACACCCACACAACCGUCCUUCCCUCUAACUCCAUCUCCCCAAACCUGAUGCCUUCCCCAUUUUACGUUUUAUGAAUCUUUAUUCUCUUAAAAACAUAAAAAAUAGACACACACACAACCUAAAAGAAACAUAAAACAGAGUGGGUGAACGGAGGGGUCAAGAAGGUUCAGCUGGGUCUUGGUCGAGUUUCUGUUGCCAUUUAUUCCAUCGAAUUUCAGUAGCUGUAGUUUUGUUUUACUGUCGACAUCUCUUGUGUGUACUGCUCAAAGGAAAUUUUAAUCGAAAAGCUUGACUAAAGGUCCGAUUCUUACUCUGCUUUCUGAAUAUUUAUUGUAUGAUUUUUGUGGAUUUUGAAUGUUUUGGAUUUUGGAUGAAUACCCCUCGAUGUGGAUGUGUUCUGUCAUCUUUGCGUUUGAA
rnacentral:lncRNA from 1 species